GCUGAGCUCGGGCUCAGCUCGACAGGGCUCGGCGGGCGGCGGCGGGGCGGCGGGCGGAGGAGGGAGGGCGAGGGCGGGCGGAAGAGGGAGGAGAGGCGCGGGGAGCCAGGCCUCGGAGCAGCCACCCGAGCAGACGGAUCACACGGAGCAGCGGCCCCGGCCCCGCCAGAUCUGCAGCCGAGAUGCUCCAGACUUUGUAUGAUUACUUCUGGUGGGAACGCCUGUGGCUGCUUGUGAACUUGACCUGGGCCGAUCUAGAAGACCGAGAUGGACGUGUCUACGCCAAAGCCUCAGAUCUCUAUAUCACGCUGCCCCUGGCCUUGCUCUUCCUCAUCGUUCGAUACUUCUUUGAGCUGUACGUGGCUACACCACUGGCUGCUCUCUUGAACAUAAAGGAGAAAACCCGACUGCGGGCACCUCCCAAUGCCACCUUGGAACAUUUCUACCUGACCAGUGGCAAGCAGCCCAAGCAGGUGGAGGCAGAGCUUUUGUCCUGGCAGAGCGGGCUCUCCGGCCGCCAGGUAGAGCGUUGGUUCCGCCGCCGCCGCAACCAGGACCGGCCCAGUCUCCUCAAGAAGUUCAGAGAAGCCAGCUGGAGAUUCACAUUUUACCUGAUUGCCUUCAUUGCCGGUAUGGGCGCCAUUGUGGAUAAACCCUGGUUCUACGACAUGAAGAAAGUUUGGGAGGGAUAUCCCAUACAGAGCACUAUCCCUUCCUAGUAUUGGUACUACGUGAUUGAACUUUCCUUCUACUGGUCCCUGCUCUUCAGCAUUGCCUCUGAUGUCAAGCGAAAGGAUUUCAAGGAACAGAUCAUCCACCAUGUGGCCACCAUCAUCCUCAUCAGCUUUUCCUGGUUUGCCAAUUACAUCCGAGCUGGGACUGUCAUCAAGGCUCUGCAUGACUCUUCUGACUACCUGCUGGAGUUAGCCAAGAUGUUUAACUAUGCGGGAUGGAAGAACACCUGCAACAACAUCUUCAUCAUCUUCGCCAUUGUUUUCAUCAUCACCCGACUGGUCAUCCUGCCCUUCUGGAUCCUGCAUUGCUCCCUGGUAUACCCACUGGAGCUCUAUCCUGCCUUCUUUGGCUAUUACUUCUUCAAUUCCAUGAUGGGAGUUCUACAGCUGCUGCAUAUCUUCUGGGCCUACCUCAUUUUGCGCAUGGCCCACAAGUUCAUAACUGGAAAGCUGGUACAAGAUGAAGGCAGUGACUGGGAAGAAACAGAGAACUCAGAGGGGGAGGAGGCUGCAGCUGGGGGAGGAGCAAAGAGCCGGCCCCUAGCCAAUGGCCACCCCAUCCUCAAUAACCAUCAUCGUAAGAAUGACUGA